rnacentral:rRNA from 1 species
AACGAACGCUGGCGGCAUGCCUAACACAUGCAAGUCGAACGAGACCUUCGGGUCUAGUGGCGCACGGGUGCGUAACGCGUGGGAACCUGCCCUUAGGUUCGGAAUAACUCCCCGAAAGGGGUGCUAAUACCGGAUAAUGUCUUCGGACCAAAGAUUUAUCGCCUUUGGAUGGGCCCGCGUUGGAUUAGCUAGUUGGUAGGGUAAAAGCCUACCAAGGCGACGAUCCAUAGCUGGUCUGAGAGGAUGAUCAGCCACACUGGGGCUGAGACACGGCCCAGACUCCUACGGGAGGCAGCAGUGGGGAAUAUUGGACAAUGGGCGAAAGCCUGAUCCAGCAAUGCCGCGUGAGUGAUGAAGGCCUUAGGGUUGUAAAGCUCUUUUACCCGGGAUGAUAAUGACAGUACCGGGAGAAUAAGCUCCGGCUAACUCCG